AUGACUCUCAUCACCAUCCUCAUCUGGACGCUGGCCUGCUGCUGUUUUACAGGAUGCAGCGGUCAGGUGACUGUGACUCAGCCUCCAGUAGUGACAUCUACUCCAGGAUCCACCGUCUCUCUCACCUGUAAGACCAGCCAAGCUGUUUACAGCCACAGUAGUCUUGGUGAUUGUAUGAGCUGGUAUCAACAGAAAUCUGGACAGCCUCCAAAGCUCCUAAUAAAAUUUGUGAGCACACGUGAAUCAGGAACAGCAGCUCGGUUUAGUGGCAGUGGAAGCAGCUCUGACUUCACUUUGACCAUCAGUGGAGUUCAGAGUGAAGACGCAGCAGUUUAUUACUGUCAGAGUGUUCAUGUCAUAAACAGUGCUGCUGUGUUCACACAGAUGAGAUGGUACCUUCAGAAACCUGGACAGGCUCCCAAACUCCUUAUAUACCAAGCAUCAACUCUCUUCUCAGGGACUGCGUCUCGAUUCAGAGGCAGUAGCUCUGGUUCUGACUACACUUUAACCAUCACAGGUGUUCAGACUGACGAUGCUGGAGAUUACUACUGUCUGGGCCUCCAUAGUGGCAAUGUGUUCACACAGUGAUUUAGAGCCGUACAAAAACCUCCUUCAGUUUGACUGAAGUGAAACCGGCCUGCUGCAGGUGCAGAGGGUUGGUGAAGAGACUGUGAUGAGGAGAACUGGUCCAGUGAACACAACACAAGAGUCAUCAAGCAGAACCACAAUGAAUCUAAAUAAAACUGGAACAAACUCACAGACGCUCUUCCAUACACAGUUUAAACUUAUAUUAUUGUCCCUUUAUGAGUAAACUGGGGAGGUUAAACU